rnacentral:tRNA from 1 species
UUUCUAUUAGUAUAAUAUAAGUACACUUGAUUUCCAAUUAAGGGGUUGUGGGUACAAUAGAAUU